rnacentral:rRNA from 1 species
UACGUAAGGGGCAAGCGUUGUCCGGAUUUAUUGGGCGUAAAGAGCGUGUAGGCGGCCAGACCGGUCCGUUGUGAAAACUGGAGGCUCAACCUCCAGACGUCGAUGGAAACCGUCUGGCUAGAGUCCGGAAGAGGAGAGUGGAAUUCCUGGUGUAGCGGUGAAAUGCGCAGAUAUCAGGAAGAACACCCGUGGCGAAAGCGGCUCUCUGGGACGGUACUGACGCUGAGACGCGAAAGCGUGGGGAGCGAACAGG